AACUCACCUGACAUUGACAGCUUAAAACGUCAAUCAUAAAAUGAAUAUUUUUCUACCUUGAAGAAUAUCUCAAAUAACUAUGAUCUCACUCUUUUAUCUGGUGUUAAUUUAAGUUUAGAAAGUGUAUUAGUAUAUCAAAAUGCAACAAUCCCCGUUUGAGAAUAUUUUUAACAUAAUUGGCGGAUUGUCCGAAGGAAAUGAGAAGCCCAUGAAACAUGGGUUCUAUAACGCAUUUGCCCUGUUCAUUCUAACUAUAUGCUGUGCUGCAGUUUAUGUGCUGUUUCUUAUACUAGAACCCUUCUUCAAACCUUUGUUUUGGGCCCUUUUAGUGGGUUCGUUGCUUCACCCAUUCAAAUAUAAAUUGUCUAAGAAGCUGAAGUCAUGGUUUGAAGAUUUAGAGAAAUGUAACAAAUCUGUGAUAUUUGGAUUAAUGUGCUUACCUGUAAAUGUUGUUAAUGUUGCUUCGGACACGGUGGGACAUCAGUUCAUAGAACAUUACAAGACUGUGAUUGGAUUACUGUCUGCAAUAUUUGUUUUACCGUGGCUGUACAAUGCCAUUCCCCGAAGUUUGGUCUGCAUAUUCUGGCAGUUGAGCAGCUUCAUUGGCUUCUCAACUACAAAGCUCAUUGGCUUUUGCAGCUCAUACAUUACUCUGACCAUAGCUCUGGCUUAUUUAAUAAGCAUAUGCACAUUAUGGAGGCCAGAGCGAUCUGGCAUGUUUAAAGCUUCAUCGCAAUUCCUCUGGCUCGUUAUAACGAGUUUCCUGGCCAGUCUGACUGGGUCACUGCAAGUCUAUACAUUUGUAAUGCUGCAAGGGCUAUGUGUAGCUGGAUUUGCGCUUGAAGUGAUUGAUGUACAUAAGGAGUUAUUAGCGAGAGAUCCUGAGACAUCAGCUAUAGUCGCAAUCCAAAAAGUUCUUACCAACGAACAUUGCAAAGAUGCAAUAAAGCAAGAUGAAAAGCCGGAACAGAGCGCUAGUGAACAGGAAUCCACGCCCGAGAAAGAAUCCCCCUCUCCCGUCACCCCUGAUGCCGCUAUGAAAAGGGGAAGCUGGGCAGAAACCGAUCAAAUACACAGCUCGCCUCGCCACGCCAAAAUGCUGUACAAAACUCGAACAUUAUCCGCCUUACCACUAUCAAAUACGAAAACGAAGUCCGCCUUCGAAAAUCGACUCAUCGCCUCCUUCAAACAAAGAUCGAUGGACGAAAACUACAUGAAAAACAACUUCAACAGUGAUGACGAAACCGCCUUAUAUUUUAAACUACUUUUCUUUGGAUGCCUAUGCAUGCUCGUGUGGAAACAUAUUUGGCUGCUGCCAGUAAUGCUGUUUUUCUUAGCAAUCCAUGUGUUGAAGAGAGUGUUGGACUUCUUUGGAGUUUGGCUGUUCUGUGAGAAUCACUACAAUAAUUUCAAGGGCAAAGUCAAAAAUUGGUGGUCUGACAGACAAUCUGCGGCGGUACCAGCGCACAUUCGUGGAAUCCGCAAAAUCCUCUCUAGUUUAAAUAAAAGCAUAAGAGACGUGGCCUACGGCUCUGUGGAUACUGUAUCUACUUGUAUCGUGAUCACGGGUCUUAUUACAUUUCUUAUCGUCGCUACUAUAUUCAUUUGUAUACAGAUAUACUCAGAGGCAAUAGUGGUGGUCCAACUGAGCGGCAGCCUUCUGAACAGUACGUUCGUACAAAACAGCGAGCUGCACGCUUACCUCCCCGAGGGAUGGGAGGAGAAACUAGAUUCCUUGAUCGACAACGCCUAUACUUAUGGAAAAGAGGGCAUAUCUGCUGGUGUAAAGAACAUACUCAAAGAAGGCGACCCUGAGAAGAUAGCCCGUGUAGAGGAGCAAAUUCUGCAAGUAUGGGACCGUGUGUACCAAAGCUGGGUGUCGGGGCAGUUCGCGCCGCAGAUCGGGCCCACGGUCGACGGCAACGCUGUCCAGGACUCGUGGGACAGCUUCGUUCACGACAUCUCUAACACCCCUGGCGUGUUCGACUACUCCGGCAUCGUAGCCUGGGUGCAAGCCAACGUGGGCACCCUGAGCGCCAUAGCUACAAGCAUUUGGGCACCGCUGGCCAGCAAUGUAUCCUUGCUGGCCGGGUCGAUCGGCGCAUUCACGUCGCUUCUACUCUCAGGCGGAGGCGCUGUCAUCAACAUGUUCAUUAACUUGGUGGUGUUCUUUACAACGCUUUUCUACUUGCUGGCGUGCAGCAACGCUCUCUACAAGCCGGUCGAGGUCAUCACCCAAGUGCAGCCCAACUUUGGACCGCGACUCGGCAUCGCCCUGUCUGUCGCUAUAAACCAGGUGUUCAGAGCGUCAUUCAAAAUGGCGCUGUUUUACGGGUUAUGGACGUGGCUGGUGCACAAUCUGUUUGGAGCUAAAGUUGUCUACUUACCUUCAGUGUUAGCUGCAGUGUUGGGCGCGGCUCCGUUCCUCGGGCCGUACUUGGCCGGGAUCCCCGCAGCGCUGGACGUGUGGCUGCAAGGCAGGCCUAUGGCCGCGCUGAUGCUGCCUAUCGCUCAAGCUGCGCCCAUCGCCUUCCUUGAUGCUGCCGUCUACGCUGAAAUCAAAGACGGCGGCCACCCAUACGUGACUGGUUUAGCAAUAGCGGGUGGUAUAUUUUACCUCGGGCCCGAGGGCGCGAUCCUCGGGCCCCUACUGCUCUGCUGCCUCAUGGUGGUGCUGAACCUGUCCUCUGCCUUCCUGCGCGACACGCCGUCCGAAGAGCGCGCCGCCCUGCAUUCGCGUGUCAGUGUACCAAAGUGGUUGGCGAGUGAGAAAUUGUCUCAGCUUGUUAUUUCUAUGAUGAUCAAAAAGUUAACCAAGGUAAUUUGUAAAUAGUUAUUCAUUCGACACAUUUCGAAACAUACAAAAGUUCUUCAAAGUCCAUAAUAAUGUUCAAAACAAAAUUUCAUUACCCAUUUUUGUAAAUAACUGUUUUAUUUCUUGUUUAUUGGUGAAUAAUAUUUUUUUGGUAUAUUUAAGUGAUAGGUAAUAAUGCGUGGGUGUUCCUGUUGAUUUAGGUCAUUAUUGGGAUUGUUUUAUAAUUGAGGCUCGGUGCUUUUCUCUGACGGGCAUGCAUGGACAACUAACACUCAGUCAGUCCCCAAAUGAUAAGCAAUUAUUGUCAAUUAAUAAGCCAAGCAAUGUAUGGUAUGAUAAGUAAUAAC